AGGGGCAUAGUUCAGUUGGUAGAACGGCGGUCUCCAAAACCGCAUGUCGUGGGUUCGAAUCCUGCUGCCCCUG
rnacentral:tRNA from 1 species